rnacentral:lncRNA from 1 species
CACAGGAAGAGAUUAAGCUGUAAUUCAGAGGAUAACUAGACUGAAAUUACUCUGGGCGUCUCUGCCUGUGCACUGGAGAAGGACUUUGGGACUGAGGCAAGAAGGCUGCAGUGGAAACAAGGAGGCUUAGAGACAGCUAAAUGGAUGCAGAGUCUGAGGCAGAAUCUGACGGAAGGACGACAGUGAGGAAGGGAAGUAAAGGACGACAAAUGAUUAAAGGCAAGAGAGAAGGGAUUCAUUCAGCUGGAUGAGGCAGGUGUGUGUAAAAGUGAGUGAGGGCCUCAGGCUUCGACCAAGGAACCGACUUUUAGUGUAAUGGUUUCAAGCUGUGCUACUGUAAAUCCCAGAUGAAAAAGAACAAUAGAGUGUUUGUGCCAGGACAGAAAUAUUGGAGAGGGAGCAGCACUCCCUAGUGGCCAGCAUGGUGUUGGCGGAGCCGAUGAGCGAGAGUUGAAGGGAAGAGAAGAUGAAAUCUGAACGCCUACCGUGCGUUAACAGGGCCACCUGCCCGUUUGCAAGUGAAGCAUCUUCAUCCACCGCUUCCUGCAUCUUGGGGAAUGCAAAGUUGAUGUUUUGAAGGAAGAUGGUGUGUUUGUUGCUGCCUUCAACUUCAAUUUUGUAACUGCCCCAUAAUCUUAUGCUCAUAACCUGAAAUUUUAACUCUACAAUGUUAAGAAAUUUCUUUGCCCAGGAAACAACGUGGUCUGACAACAGAGGUUUCUGAUGAGCUGACAGUACAGAGGAGUGGAUUCGUGGCUUCCAUAGAUUCCAUGUUUUCCAUUUCAGCCAUUGGUGAGAGACUUCUGAAGACUGGCGGCUUCUGACAACCUGCUCUUUUCUUGAGACACAAAUGUGAUGUGCGUGAUUGGCCAACAUCAGAGUUUCCUUGUGGUUUUAUGGUUUUAUUUGAUAUUCGCUAUCAAGUAGGCAGUCAUCUCAGCAAGAUUCUACAGAGGUCACAUCAAGUUUAAAAUUUCAAAUCUAUUGCCAACUGUGGAAAAAUCAUAUGCUGUAGAAGUACUCACAAAUUGGGCCAGAUGCAUGUUUAACUCCAUGAAGAAUACUAGCCUUUCCUGCAGAGGUUUGGAAGCAGUGAGAAAGUGAUGUGGGUUGUGGCCCAUCCUUGUAGGUCCAGUUUCUCCUCCUUCUUCCACUUCACAUCCAUCUUCCCUUUUUGACUGCUUUAUCUGCAAACUUCAGGCUCCAGCACCAGACAAAAAAGCAUCAGCCUCCCACACUGUUUAACCAGCUGCCACAAUUUGUAAAGUCAAAUUCCUAUAGUCGACUCCUUAUUCUAUAUAUAUACACACACAUACACACAUGUAUUUACAUUUAUAUAAAUAUAAAAUAUAUUUAUAUUCAAAAUUUUAUAUAUAGAUAUGUAUUUACAUAUACAUAUAUAGUUGAUUUUUCUUCUAGUGGCUCUUCUUCUCUAAUGGAGCCCUAACUGACUGUGUCUUUGCAGCUCUUCACCUUGAAUCUGGGCUGGCCUUGUGACUUGCUUUGCUUAAUAGAAUGUGACAGAAGUGACAGGGCCCAGCUCUGAGCCUAGGCCUCAAGAAGCCUUGCACGUUUUCUCUCUUGGAACCCUGUAACCACUGUGUGAACAAUCCCUGGCUAGCCUGUUGGAAGAUGAGAGAAUACUACAUGGAGGAGAGUCAAGUCAUCCCAGACAAGGCCAUUCUUGACUAGCCAUAACCAGCUGUCCCACCAAAAUAUGAGUGAUCCCAGCCAUGACCAGCAAAGCUGCCUACCCCACCCCCGGCUGACCACAGAUGAUAAGUGAGCCCAGCUGAGAGCAGACCCACCAGCUGACCUAUGAUCUUCUGACCAGUAAUAAAUGCAUAUUAUUUAAGCCACAAGUUUUAAGGUGUUUUUUUCCCACAAUAGUGGCUAACUGAUGCAUCUAGCAUAUUAAUUUUUCCUUCUUUUAUUGUGAAAUAUAAAAUACAUACAGAAAAGUACAUAAAACAUAAGUUUAACAUGCAAUUAUAAAGUGAAAAUACGUGUAAUCACCCCCUAGGUCAAGAAAAAGGGCGUUGCCAGCACAGAAGCAGCCCCCACCCUCCCCACCUGUGUGGCUUCUCGCUUGUUCCCUGAUCCUUCCCCACUAUCCUGACUUUUGAGAUAAUCAUUCCCUUGCUUAUUUUGAUAGCUUCACCAUGUAUUAGGGAAAACAGUAUCACUUAGUUUGCCUGUUGUCAGCCUUUAUAUUCUAUGUGAUUUCUUUUUUGCCUAGCUUAUUUUGCAUUGUUUAUAAGAUUCAACUAUGUUGUCCUGUGUAGCUGUGAUCUGUUCAUUUUCAUUGCUAUGUAUUGUCCUAUUUUAUAUUUUAUAUGUAUAUUUAUGAAUAUACCCAGGUUUAUGGAUAUUUGGGGUAUUUCUGGUUUGGGACUAUUCCUAGACUUUGCCUUUAAGUUUUCUUGUCUAUGUAUCCUGGUAUACUUGGGCACGAGUUUCUCUAAAGCAGUGGUUCUCAAAUUUUUGAUUCCAGAAUCUUAAAAAGUAAAAAUU